GCCUGGGUGGCUCAGUGGUUGAGUGUCUGUCUUCAGCUCAGGGCCUGAUCCCAGGUUCCUGGGAUCAAAUCCCACAUCAGGCU
rnacentral:tRNA from 1 species